UACGUAGGUGGCGAGCGUUGUCCGGAAUUACUGGGUGUAAAGCGCGUGUAGGCGGGAGGCCAAGUCUGCGGUGAAAUCGCUCGGCUCAACUGGGCGGGGUCCGUGGAAACUGGUCACCUGGAGGACGGUAGAGGCGAGUGGAAUUCCCGGUGUAGUGGUGAAAUGCGUAGAGAUCGGGAGGAACACCAGUGGCGAAGGCGGCUCGCUGGGCCGGACCUGACGCUGAGACGCGAAGGCGUGGGGAGGCGAACGGG
rnacentral:rRNA from 1 species